CCAGGCAGUGCAUCUAGAAUCUGCCAUAGGAUAUGUAAACCACAAUGUGGCAAUGGCCCGGAGAGCGGCAAAAGCCUUUACCAUUGAAACUUCAAAUACAGAGCCUUCUAUCUGAAUCAUUUCAUUUCCCUUUAGCAGUUUGCCUCUGCUGCAGAUGAGAUGAAAACAGCGUCGUUUGGGGCGGUUAACAGAGCCGCGGCUGGAGCUGCAGGUGCGAGCUCUGGCGGUAAGACGGUAAUGAUUACCGGAGUGAGCAAAGGACUAGGCAGAGCCUUAGCUCUAGAACUAGCCAAGAGAGGUCACACCAUCAUCGGUUGCUCUCGUGCUCAGGAUAAGCUCAAUUCCCUCCAAUCUGAACUCUCCUCCGACCGUAACAACCACCACCUGCUCCUCAUCGCCGACGUGGUAUUUCCCCCCAUUCUACAUUUUCUUAUCAAUUUUUAAUCUUUCUUUCAUUAUUUUGGUUUUUAAUUGUUUAAUUUCAAUGGCCGGCGAUUGUUAGAGGUCUAAUAGUAGCGUCGAAGAGCUGGCAAGAGCUGUAAUAGAAAAGAAGGGUGUUCCAGAUAUCAUAGGUGAAUUUUCAUAUACAAAAUUUUCCCUUUUCUUUUUAAAUUUUAAUAUUCUUCCUUUACUUGUUAAUUUUGUUAAACAGUGAACAAUGCGGGUACCAUUAA
rnacentral:misc_RNA from 1 species